ACAGGGAAGCAGCGGCCGCCAUUUCAGGGAGCUUGUCGACGCUGUCGCAGGGGUGGAUCCUGAGCUGCCGAAGCCGCCGUCCUGCUCUCCCGCGUGGGCUUCUCUAAUUCCAUUGUUUUUUUUAGAUUCUCUCGGGCCUAGCCGUCCUUGGAACCCGAUAUUCGGGCUGGGCGGUUCCGCGGCCUGGGCCUAGGGGCUUAACAGUAGCAACAGAAGCGGCGGCGGCGGCAGCAGCAGCAGCAGCAGCAGCAAUCUCUUCCCGAACACGAGCACCACAGGCGCCCGAAGGCCGGAACAGGCGUUUAGAGAAAAUGGCAGACGAUAUUGAUAUUGAAGCAAUGCUUGAGGCUCCUUACAAGAAGACUUGCCUAACGAUAUCUCACCUCUACUCCCAUGAAUUCACCUUUGAUUCCAGUGUGAACUGUCAAUCAUAAGGUAGUAAUUGAGUGACUUAUCGCUGUACCGUGGUCCCCUAGGUAAAAUGACUCAACUAAGAAUUACCACCUCCAGUUUGGUAUAGCAAAAAGGUGAAUGUAGUGGUUUGGGAAAAAGCAGGGGUCCAAGAAUAACAAAGCAUGACCAGUCUGUGGCAAGUUAAAUCUUCUAACAGUCUUAUAAGAAGAAAUGGGUGAGAUUUUAAAAUUUAUGUAUCUAUGUAAGACUGGUGAUAGUAAAUCUUAAAACAGUCCAGUGGCAAUCUGCUGCUCAGUUAAUAAUUACUAAAAUUCUUGGAUCCCUGAAUAGAAAUUAAAAAAAAAAAAUACAAGAGGCAGUAGAGUCAAUACAAGCUUAAUACAAGCUUAGAGUAAAUACAAGCUUAGAGUCACUUGAUGACUGUUUUACUGUUCUCCAUAUUGUUUU
rnacentral:lncRNA from 1 species